UACUGAUGGAGGACUGAGCAGCUGGGUGUCAUUGAGGUCGUUCACUGGACCCUUUUUGGUACUAGAAGAAUAUUAGCAAACUUAAGAUAAAAUGGAAUUUGGCGAAGGAUUUUCUCCAGAUUUUUCAUCUAAUCAUGACAUCCCAGACUUCUCAAUGCCUGAUUGUGUUUUUGACCAGAAUGAGGAUAACAAUACGCCUGAACAUAAUGGAAUGGGAAAUGGCAUAAGGAUACAAGCCCAGAUUCGGACAGGAAACUCAAACCCAGCGGCUCAAAUGAGAACCAGUGCAGCUUCUCCACAAAUGCUAUGUCCGCGUUGCCAGGCCUACGUCAUGACCUUGACUGAACACAAAAUAGGCUGCUUCACCUGGACAGUCGCUGGAAUACUUUUCAUCAUAGGGUGCUGGCCCUGCUUUUUAAUCCCUUUCUGUGAGGAAUCUUGCAAGGAUGUGCAUCACUUCUGUCCACGAUGCAAAAAUGUCCUGUACAUCCACAAACUCAUUUCCUAAAUCUGGUGGUGAUCCAAAUAUAUGCUAAAUCUUCC